rnacentral:rRNA from 1 species
UGCCCUUCCCGGAGGCCUGAACACAUGCAAGUCGAACGGUAACAGGAAGAAGCCUGCUUCUUUGCUGACGAGUGGCGGACGGGUGAGUAAUGUCUGGGAAACUGCCUGAUGGAGGGGGAUAACUACUGGAAACGGUAGCUAAUACCGCAUAACGUCGCAAGACCAAAAAGGGGGACCUUCGGGCCUCUUGCCAUCGGAUGUGCCCAGAUGGGAUUAGCUAGUAGGUGGGGUAACGGCUCACCUAGGCGACGACCCCUAGCUGGUCUGAGAGGAUGACCAGCCACACUGGAACUGAGACACGGUCCAGACUCCUACGGGAGGCAGCAGUGGGGAAUAUUGCACAAUGGGCGCAAGCCUGAUGCAGCCAUGCCGCGUGUAUGAAGAAGGCCUUCGGGUUGUAAAGUACUUUCAGCGGAGAGGAAGGGAGUAAAGUUAAUACCUUUGCUCAUUGACGUUACCCGCAGAAGAAGCACCGGCUAACUCCGUGCCAGCAGCCGCGGUAAUACGGAGGGUGCAAGCGUUAAUCGGAAUUACUGGGCGUAAAGCGCACGCAGGCGGUUUGUUAAGUCAGAUGUGAAAUCCCCGGGCUCAACCUGGGAACUGCAUCUGAUACUGGCAAGCUUGAGUCUCGUAGAGGGGGGUAGAAUUCCAGGUGUAGCGGUGAAAUGCGUAGAGAUCUGGAGGAAUACCGGUGGCGAAGGCGGCCCCCUGACGAAGACUGACGCUCAGGUGCGAAAGCGUGGGGAGCAAACAGGAUUAGAUACCCUGUAGUCCACGCCGUAAACGAUGUCGACUUGAGGUUGUGCCCUUGAGGCGUGGCUUCCGGAGCUAACGCGUUAAGUCGACCGCCUGGGGAGUACGGCCGCAAGGUUAAAACUCAAAUGAAUUGACGGAAGGGCGAA